rnacentral:rRNA from 1 species
GUUAUUAUAGCUUCGGCGCUUUCUUGAGUGGGUGUGCGGCUGAUUAGAUAGUUGGCGGGGUAACGGCCCACCAAGUCUACGAUCAGUAGCUGAUGUGAAAGCAUGAUCAGCCACACGGGCACUGAGACACGGGCCCGACUCCUACGGGAGGCAGCAGUAAGGAAUAUUGGUCAAUGGACGCAAGUCUGAACCAGCCAUGCCGCGUGAAGGAUUAAGGUCCUCUGGAUUGUAAACUUCUUUUAUCUGGGACGAAAAAAGGCGAUUCUUCGUCACUUGACGGUACCAGAUGAAUAAGCACCGGCUAACUCCGUG